rnacentral:rRNA from 1 species
UACGGAGGAUCCAAGCGUUAUCCGGAAUCAUUGGGUUUAAAGGGUCCGUAGGCGGAUUUAUAAGUCAGUGGUGAAAGUCUGUCGCUUAACGAUAGAAUUGCCAUUGAUACUGUAGAUCUUGAGUUGUUAUGAAGUGGUUGGAAUGAGUAGUGUAGCGGUGAAAUGCAUAGAUAUUACUCAGAACACCUAUUGCGAAGGCAGAUCACUAAUAACUAACUGACGCUGAUGGACGAAAGCGUAGGUAGCGAACAGG